rnacentral:rRNA from 1 species
CGCACGGGUGAGUAACACGUAUGGAACCUGCCCUAUGCAGGGGGAUAAGCGGAAGAAAUUCCGUCUAAUACCGCAUAACACCAUUGGGAGACAUCUCCAGGUGGUCAAAGGAGGCGACUCCGGCAUAGGAUGGCCAUGCGUCGCAUUAGCUAGUCGGCGGGGUAACGGCCCACCGAGGCGACGAUGCGUAGGGGUUCUGAGAGGAAGGUCCCCCACACUGGUACUGAGACACGGACCAGACUCCUACGGAAGGCAGCAG